UGGGGAAUAUUGGACAAUGGGCGCAAGCCUGAUCCAGCCAUGCCGCGUGAGUGACGAAGGUCUUCGGAUUGUAAAGCUCUUUUAGCAGGGAAGAUAAUGACGGUACCUGCAGAAUAAGCCCCGGCUAACUUCGUGCCAGCAGCCGCGGUAAUACGAAGGGGGCUAGCGUUGUUCGGAAUUACUGGGCGUAAAGCGCACGUAGGCGGAUUGAUAAGUUAGAGGUGAAAUCCCGGGGCUCAACCUCGGAACUGCCUUUGAUACUGUUAGUCUCGAGUCCGAUAGAGGUGAGUGGAAUUCCUAGUGUAGAGGUGAAAUUCGUAGAUAUUAGGAAGAACACCAGUGGCGAAGGCGGCUCACUGGAUCGGUACUGACGCUGAGGUGCGAAAGCGUGGGAAGCAAACAGGAUUAGAUACCCCAGUAGUCCCUGAGCGGGCUGGCAAGGCGCAU
rnacentral:rRNA from 1 species